rnacentral:rRNA from 1 species
UACGAGGGGGGCGAGCGUUGUUCGGAAUUAUUGGGCGUAAAGGGCGCGUAGGCGGUCGGAUAAGUCUUGUGUGAAAUCUUCGGGCUCAACUCGAAGUCUGCACAGGAAACUAUCUGGCUUGAGUGUGGGAGAGGUGAGUGGAAUUCCUGGUGUAGCGGUGAAAUGCGUAGAUAUCAGGAGGAACACCCGUAGCGAAGGCGGCACUCUGGGCCGAUACUGACACUGAGGAGCGAAAGCGUGGGGAGCGAACAGG